ensembl:lncRNA
CACAGACACUUUCACUCUCUCUGAAGGGAGGUCCUCCUGCACGUAGCCACGCAGUCGGUGUUUUCCAGGUGGCUGCUGUGCACCGGAUGUGUGCCCGUGCUGCAAAACACGUGUCCUUGUUGUGCUUCCUCGAGAGAUGCAUCUGCUGAUGUCAGCUUCCAGCAGGUGAGACCCUCCAGGCCAUCUAGCCAGACAAGAAAAAUAAACACAGGAAAUAGCAUCCGUGCAGUCAGAUAACUGAGAAACAAGCGGCUGGGAGCAAUUCGGCUGUGUGUGUGUCAGGGGGACAGAGCUUGGAGCAAGCAGAUGUCAGGCCUUGUUACGGGGAGAGGGCCUGGAUGUGGGUGAGCUA